CGCACAUUGCGCCCUUUGGUAUUCCGAAGGGCAUGCCUGUUCGAGCGUCAUUAUCACCCCUCAAGCCCCUCUGGGUUUGGCCUUGGACGGCUUGGUUCACCCCAACCGCCCCAAAGACAAUGACGGCGGCCUCGUGGGACCCCCGGUACACUGAGCUUCUUAACUGAGCACGUACUGGAUGUAGGGUGCCCGGGUCACAGUCCUCCUCCUUUUCACCUCGGUGGAAGGGAACUUUUUUUAUCAGGUUGACCUCGGAUCAGGUAGGAAUACCCGCUGAACUUAA
rnacentral:misc_RNA from 1 species